rnacentral:rRNA from 1 species
UACGUAGGGUGCAAGCGUUGUCCGGAAUUAUUGGGCGUAAAGAGCUCGUAGGCGGUCUGUCGCGUCUGCUGUGAAAACUCAGGGCUUAACCCUGAGCUUGCAGUGGGUACGGGCAGACUAGAGUGCGGUAGGGGAGACUGGAAUUCCUGGUGUAGCGGUGAAAUGCGCAGAUAUCAGGGAGGAACACCGGUGGGCGAAAGGCGGGGUCUCUGGGCCGUAACUGACGC